GGAUGUGAGGGUGAUCUGGCUGCAACAUCUGUCACCCCAUUGAUUGCCAGAGCUGAUUCGGCUGAUCUGAUGGCUAGGCAGGUGUCCCCUUCCUCCCUCACCACUCUAUGUGCGUCCCUCCCGGAGCUGCAUGCUCAGUCAAGAGGAGGAACACUCCUGAUAAAAGAGGACCGUUUGCUCGGUCAAGGGUGUAUGAGUAGCUGCACUCCCCCGCUAGAACCUCCAAACAAGCCCUCAAAGAUGGCUCUAACUACAACUGAACAAAGCUUCCAAGCUGGUGGCGAUUCAAGCUCCUAGAACUUCCAUGGAUAAGGGAGCUCCUUCCCCAU
ensembl:misc_RNA 7SK 7SK RNA